CUUUCUUCGCUUAAACGGCCUUGCUGCAAUGCCUCGAUGUCGAGGCAUUCAGCAAGGCCGAGAUCGGCAUCGGGGGGCAUGUCUGGCCCCUCCCCGGGGCGUCAACAGCCGCCAUACAUUGUAUGGCGGCGGACGCCCGUUUUAAAAGCGUUUAGGAGGCGAUCAACGAUCGCCUCCUAAACUUAAAUGGUGUCGCUGGAAUGCCUCGAUCAGGAGGCAUCCAGCGACACCAAACACUUACCUCUGGGAGAGCGGUCACAGCCGCAGCUCCCGGUGAUCUUCGCCAUCAGCAAGAUGGCGGCGGCCCGGGGAAAAAAAACAAUAAAGAUGAAAGAGUUCGCUAGAUGGUCUCCAGACUUUCUAAUCACAAUGUGAUUAGUAAAAUAUUCAAAAAAUAAUAAAAAAAAAAUAAAAAAAAAUGUGCUAACAUUUAAAAAUAAUUAUGCAGUGAUGUCACUAGAUGAACCAUCCAGUACCAGCAAAA